rnacentral:rRNA from 1 species
UACGUAGGGCGCAAGCGUUAUCCGGAAUUAUUGGGCGUAAAGAGCUCGUAGGCGGUCUGUUGCGUCGGCUGUGAAAACCUGGGGCUCAACUCCGGGCCUGCAGCCGAUACGGGCAGACUAGAGUUCGGCAGGGGAGACUGGAAUUCCUGGUGUAGCGGUGAAAUGCGCAGAUAUCAGGAGGAACACCGGUGGCGAAGGCGGGUCUCUGGGCCGAUACUGACGCUGAGGAGCGAAAGCGUGGGGAGCGAACAGG